rnacentral:lncRNA from 10 species
UAGCAUUUUGGGAGGUCAAGGUGAGAGGACUUCUUGAGCCCAGGAAUUCAAGACCAGCCUGGGCAACAUAGUUAAACUCCAUCUCUACAAAAAUUACAAAAAUUGGCUGGGUGUGGUGGUGCAUGCCUGUAGUCCCAACUACCCAGGAGGCUGAGUGGGAGGAUCACUUGAGCUCAGGAGGCAGAGGUUGGAGUGAGCCGUAAUUGUGCCACUGCACUCCAGCCUGUACCCUGUCACAAAAAGAAAGAAGAAAGAAAGAAAGAGAGAGAGAGAGAGAAAGAAAGAAAGAAAGAGAGAGAGAGAGAGAGAGAGAGAGAGAAAGAAAGAAAGAAAGAAAGAAGAAAGAAAGAGAGAGAGAGAAAGAAAGAAAAGAAAGAAAGAAAGAAAGAAAGAAAGAGAAAGAAAGAAGGAAGGAAGGAAGGAAAGAAAGAAAGAAAGGAAGGAAGGAAGGAAGGAAGGAAGGAAGAAAGAAAGAAAGAAAGAAAGAAAGAAAGAAAGAAAGAAAGAAAAGGAGAGGAGAGGAGAGGGAAGGGAAAGAAAGAAAUGAUGUCAAUUCUCUUCAAAUUGAUCUACAGAGUCAACUGAACUCUAGUUAAUAUCUCAAGAGGGUUUUCAAGGAACUUGGCAAGCAGCUAAUUCUAAAAUAUAUAUGGAAGGAUGGAGUCCUAAGAGUAACCAAGUCUUCAUGUAUAAAAACAUAAUAUAAAGUCAUAGUAAGUAAUAGAGUGUGGUAUAGCUAUAGGGACAAACACAUUGACAAAUGGAAUUGAACAGAAUCCCCCAAAGCAGAUCUGCACAUAUAUAAAAACCUGAUUUAUGACAAAGAUGGCAUCACAGACCACAGGAAAAGAAUAGAUUAUCUAGUAAGUGGUACCCACAAUUUGUUAUUCACAUGGGGGGAAAGAUAGAUCCCUAUAUCAUACCGUCUCCAAAAGUAAAUUCUGUAUAAAUUAAAAGCAAAAUGUACAAGUCAAAACUCUAAAACUUUCAGAGAAAAUAUGGAAUUCCUUUAUGAUGUUGGACAGGUAAAGAUUUUCUAUACAAGGUACAAAAUGUACUAGCCAUAAAAUAAAAGACUGAUACAGUAUAUUAAAAAUAAGAACUUCUUUCAAAAUACAUCUUCAAGAAAGUGAGAAGGCAAGCCACAAAGUGGGAGAAGGUAUCUGUAAUGCAUGUAACUGACAAAUAAAUAUAUAAUCAACCCUUCCUAUAGCCAUCUAUCUGCACAUGUCUUCAUCUCUUUCAGGAUCUUUGCUCAAAUGUCAUAUUUUUCAAAAAACCUUUCCUGACCACUGUUCAAAAAUUGCAAAGCUCACCACCACUCCCUGCACCACUCCCUGCCUAUUGCCUUUCCUGCCUUUUUUUUUUUUUUUUUAGACAGAGUCUUGCUCUGUUGCCCAGGCUGGAGUGCAGUGGCACAGUCUCGGCUCACUGCAAUCUCAGUUUCCUGGGUUCAAGCAGUCCUCCUGCCUCAGCCUCCCGAGUGGCUAGGACUGCAGGCAUGUGCCACUAUGCCUGGCUAACUCUUGUAUUUUUAGUAGAGAUGGAGUUUCACCAUAUUGGUCAGUGUGGUCUUGAACUCUUGACCUCAAGUGAUCCGCCCUCCUCAGCCUCCCAAAGUGUUGGGAUCACAGGCAUGAGCCACCAUGCCCAGCUCCUGCCUUAUUUUUAACCUCAACAUUUAUCAUUGCCAUACAUACUACCUAUUUAACUAAAUGAUUUGAUUGCCUGCCUCCUGCUGUCCCCAAUAGACUAUAAACUUUGAAAUGAGACCAGGAAUUUUGGUGUAUUUUGCUCACUGCAUACAUAAUACACAAGAGUGCUUGGCACAUAGCAGGUGCUCAGUAAAUAUUUGUUGAUUAAACAAACUCUUACAAAUCAAUAAUAAAAUACCAACAGCCCAGUAGAAAAAUGAGCAAAAGAUUUAAACAGGCAUUUCACAAAAUAAAAAACACAACUAGUCAAUAAACAUAUAAAAAGAUGCUCAAGUUUAUUAAUAAUCAGGGAAAUGCAAAUAAGACCAAAACUAGAUACUAUUUUACACCCACCAGAUUGGCAAACAUUAAGAAUUCUGACAGUUCUAAGUAUUGGCAAGGAUGAGGAGCAAAGAAAAUUCUUAAUACACCUGCUAUUGGGAGUAUAAAAUUGCAGAGCCUCUUUGGAAAACAAUUUGGGAUUAUCUUGUAAAGGUAAACAUGUGCCUAGCCUAUACACCAGUUGAUCUGUUCUUAGAUGUACAGCCUGAAGCAACGCUACUCAAAGUAUGGUCCUGGUGCUGAUAUGUGAAGAAUCUGAUAGAAAUACAGAAAGAGUAAGCAUGUAAAAAAGUUCAUAGCAACUUGAUACUGACACACUAUAUUUAUUUGUUUAGACAUUUAAAACAUCAUAGUGAAAUAUCCAUAACAUAAAAUUGACCAUUUUAACCAUUUUAAGCAUACAAUUUGGUGACAUUAAGUACAUUCACAUUGUCACGCAACCAUCGCCACCAUGCAUCUCUAGAACUUUAUCUUCCCAAACUGAAAUUACAUACUGAUAUGGUUUGGCUGUGUCCCCACCCAAAUCUCAUCUUGAACUAUAGUUCUCAUAAUCCCCACAUGUUGUGGGAGGGACCCAGUGGGAGGUAAUUGAAUCAUGGGGGCAGUUACUUCCAUGCUGUGCUCGUGAUAGUGAGUGAGUUCUCACGAGAUCUGCUGGUUUUAUAAAGGGCUUUCCCCUCCCACCACCGCUUGGCUCAGAACUUCUCCUUGCUGCUUCCGUGUAAAGAAGGAUGUGUUUGCUUCUCCUUCCACCAUGAUUGUAAGUUUCCUGAGGCCUCCCCAGCCAUGCUCAACUGCUGUUCUGAUCAUGAUCAAGCCCAAGACAGAGCGAUGGGCGUGGCUUCCCCAAAGGUGUUUAUGAAUCCAAAAUCUGAGAGAGAGAAGACAAGAUGAAGUCACAGUCUAGUCAUUGCCUCAACACCAGUCAUUCCUACUCCCACCCAGACAACAUCAUCUCCACUCCCAAGCCCGAAAUGCUCCCUGCCAUGCCUUCGAGGCUGAGGUCUGGGAAGAAAACUCUAAGAAGAGAGAAAAGGGCACCAGUAUGGAGACCCUAGAAUAUAAAAAGCAGACUUAGCCUGUCUAACCUGUUCCUUGACUUGGCCAUGAUCCCAGGAAUGGAGGAAGGAUCUUCCUUUUCUUCCUCCUCCUGGAGAGGCAUCAGAGCAUGGGCCCUGGCUCUGUUACUCCCUGGCUGGGGAAGUUACUUACCUACUCCGUGUCUCAGUUUUACUUAUCUCUAAAAGGGGUAGAGUAACAGCACUCACUGGAGUGGAGUGUGGUUAUGCCUCCCAGCCUCUCCUUCAGAACUAGGUUACUUAUUCCCUCAGCUGCAAGGAGUGUUAGCUGCGGACUGCUCACAACGGAGUCUCUUCUAGGGAUUGCCCUCAACCGAAGGAAGCUGCAUUGCCCAAGAUGAGAUCCCCUCGCUGGGGCAUCCUGCAUCCAAUGACAAGUCAGUGGGGCGUACGAAGGCCUGGCUUCCUCAUCUCGAUUGGACAUCUCCAAAGGGCCAUCCCAGUUUCUGAUCUCCCCGUAGAAUCUCCUGAAGCCUCUGUUGUGACUGCAUCAGAGCCCAACCUCUCUCUCUACCCAAUCCAGUCUCCUUUCCUUCUCACAGGUGUUGUUCCCAAAACUCAGUAAACUGCCUACACGCAAAUCUCUGCUUCUGAGUCUGUUUCCCAGGAAACCUGACCUACAACAGCAGUUAGUUGGCCUAAGACAGCAGUCUCAGAAAUGGGAUUUGGGAGCUGUGCUGCUCACCGGCUGACUGGUUCUGAGGACCCCAUUACGAACAGUAGGUGGAACAGUGGCAGCCCCCAGCAUGCGGUUAGGGUGCAAUUGCUAACACUUUCGCUGGUGAUGAGCUGGCAUGGGAUACAGGUAGAUAUUAAUGUACUAGGGGCUGCAGCACAUCAAGCAUUUGAGAGGUUCUGGAUAAAUAGCAUUUGUAAAGACUGUAGAAUGAGAUGGCCGUUGCUGGGGGUGGUGGGUGCAUAGUUUCAUUGCAGAAAGACAAUGAAA